GGGUGAGUAACACGUAUCCAACCUGCCGAUAACUCGGGGAUAGCCUUUCGAAAGAAAGAUUAAUAUCCGAUAGCAUACCAAGAUCGCAUGAUCUUGAUAUUAAAGAAUUUCGGUUAUCGAUGGGGAUGCGUUCCAUUAGUUAGUUGGCGGGGUAACGGCCCACCAAGACGACGAUGGAUAGGGGUUCUGAGAGGAAGGUCCCCCACAUUGGAACUGAGACACGGUCCAAACUCCUACGGGAGGCAGCAGUGAGGAAUAUUGGUCAAUGGACGAGAGUCUGAACCAGCCAAGUAGCGUGAAGGAUGACUGCCCUAUGGGUUGUAAACUUCUUUUAUAUGGGAAUAAAACAGGGUAUGCAUACCCUCUUGUAUGUACCAUAUGAAUAAGGAUCGGCUAACUCCGUGCCAGCAGCCGCGGUAAUACGGAGGAUCCGAGCGUUAUCCGGAUUUAUUGGGUUUAAAGGGAGCGUAGGUGGAUUGUUAAGUCAGUUGUGAAAGUUUGCGGCUCAACCGUAAAAUUGCAGUUGAAACUGGCAGUCUUGAGUACAGUAGAGGUGGGCGGAAUUCGUGGUGUAGCGGUGAAAUGCUUAGAUAUCACGAAGAACUCCGAUUGCGAAGGCAGCUCACUGGACUGCAACUGACACUGAUGCUCGAAAGUGUGGGUAUCAAACAGGAUUAGAUACCCUGGUAGUCCACACAGUAAACGAU
rnacentral:rRNA from 1 species